CGCGCAGGCGGUCCUGUUUGUCGAGUGUGAAAGCCCCGGGCUCAACCUGGGAACUGCGCUCGAAACGGCGGGACUAGAGAUCGGGAGAGGAGCGUGGAAUUCCCAGUGUAGAGGUGAAAUUCGUAGAUAUUGGGAAGAACACCGGUGGCGAAGGCGGCGCUCUGGACCGAGACUGACGCUGAGGCGCGAAAGCGUGGGGAGCAAACA
rnacentral:rRNA from 1 species